GGCCCAACAGACAAAACCCCAAUAUGGAUUAGUGCAGGGGAGAAGACUCUGGCAACAGGGUGUCAGUCCACAAGGAGCUGAGUAGAAAGGUAUUUUACAGAGGAGGAUAACCUUGUCCAAACCCUAAUAUGUGUUUUUUCAAAAGAGCUUGCAACCUUUUGGAACCCAUGUAAUAGCAGAAGUCUAAAGUCAGUGAAAGGAAAUGACUGACCCAGGGUCUGUCUGUAAGUUGGGGCUGUAGAAAUCUGGGUUUUUCCAUUUCUGACUCUCUGUCUACAAAUUUUCUCUUCUUCCAUUCUCAUCAGGUCUGGAACAGGAACAGCUUCAUAUAUAAGAAAAAUACCAGCUGGUUUUCCCUGGGUCCUCCCAGAUCAAAUAGAUCUAUUGCCUUUCCAUUGGGCUGGCUGAAACGCUGCGGACUGCGACCAGUCUCUUAAAAAGAAGAACAAAAAGAGGAAGACCUUGAGUGGACCCCAGGACAAAGCACUUUGGGCUCGGCAAGAAGGGACGCGCGGGAGCGCUGGCUCCGAACCGGAGUGAUCUCGGGUGCCCAAGAGCGCCCAUCCAGCGUGCGGACCUCUGAGGGUAUUCGGAUUGAAUUUUAUUUAUCUUUUUGGCAU
rnacentral:lncRNA from 1 species